CGCCCACCACCACACGGCUACUUAAAGCAGCGUCUCGUUAAAGCCUCAGGCUGUAACACGUCGUGUCCUCGCUGCGCACCUCGAGCUGUGAAGAGUCCAGACAGAAGAAGAAGAACCGCGUUCUGAGGACAUGCGAGGAGCGAGAAGAGUCUGUGCUGGGGAGUUCUCUCCUUGAUGAUCGUGUGGCCUGCAAAGAAAUACUUCUCUAAGGAGGAGAUGAUCUGCAGCAUCCUGGUGAUCUUCAUCCUGACCUCCUGUGUCUGUG